rnacentral:tRNA from 1 species
GGACCGGUAGCUCAGUGGUAGAGCAGUUGACUCUUAAUCUUCAGGUCGUGGGUUCGACCCCCACUCGGUCCUCCA